AAUAAUGUUUACCGCAAUGACAUCAUUGACAGUCUAAUUAAGGGUGGUUUCAGAGAGGAUAUGCUUGCGGUCGGCCUGGUGUUUGGUCAACCUGGAUUUAUUGCUUUGCCUUCAUCCAAGUUUGAUAGAGAAACCAGGCGCCAGUUACUCAAAGGGUGGAUGGCGCUAGCCUUUGAAUCUUAGUUAAUACAAGAGAAUGGUUAUGAAACUUGGCAAACUUCGAAGGAGCUUACAAAGGGGCACACUUUGAUGUUGAGUUGGGCUUCAACCCUGCACAAUCUUUUAUUUUAUGCACAUUUACUAUGCUUGAUUGACCAGACCCAAACGUUUUCAUUGGCUCAUUGUCCAAUAGAUGCAGGAAUGUUUUUGUUUUGUGCAGGGUCAAGGUUG